AGUGUUCCCAUUUUAACUUCGCACACUCUUUUCCGCAUUUUUCCUCAUGGCCAAAAGCAAAUAUUUAUUCCAUGCAUAUUUUCCCUUUUCUUUCAGGCUCCAGUUUUGAAACCUGUGGAUUCCCCCGGCCAAACAUUGCUUGUCUGUCUUGAAUUGGGUCGGUUUGUUUCCCUCUGUUUUCUCUAGAGUGCCUCUGAAAAUCGCGUUGCAGGUCGAGGGAGAAGAGGGAAGGGGAGGCAGCUCUGUGGGGCAGCGCUGUUUUACAUACGGGUUAGACACGGCUAGAGGCCAAGGUCAAGUUGAAAGUUGCAGUCUAGCCAAUGUGAGAACUGUCAUCCUCUCCCUCAGCCGCAGAGAGUUUCUCGCUUAUCUGCCUCG
rfam:Corvus brachyrhynchos isolate BGI_N302 unplaced genomic scaffold scaffold53, whole genome shotgun sequence.